rnacentral:tRNA from 1 species
GGGGCCGUAGCUCAGUGGUAGAGCAUCGCGUUUACACCGCGAGUGUCGGCGGUUCGAUCCCGUCCGGCCCCACCG